UGUUUCGGCUAGGGGGCCAUCCCGGCUUACCAACCCGAUGCAAACUGCGAAUACCGGAGAAUGUUAUCACGGGAGACACACGGCGGGUGCUAACGUCCGUCGUGAAGAGGGAAACAACCCAGACCGCCAGCUAAGGUCCCAAAGUCAUGGUUAAGUGGGAAACGAUGUGGGAAGGCCCAGACAGCCAGGAUGUUGGCUUAGAAGCAGCCAUCAUUUAAAGAAAGCGUAAUAGCUCACUGGUCGAGUCGGCCUGCGCGGAAGAUGUAACGGGGCUAAACCAUGCACCGAAGCUGCGGCAGCGACACUCAGGUGUUGUUGGGUAGGGGAGCGUUCUGUAAGCCUGUGAAGGUGUGUCGUGAGGCAUGCUGGAGGUAUCAGAAGUGCGAAUGCUGACAUAAGUAACGAUAAAGCGGGUGAAAAGCCCGCUCGCCGGAAGACCAAGGGUUCCUGUCCAACGUUAAUCGGGGCAGGGUGAGUCGACCCCUAAGGCGAGGCCGAAAGGCGUAGUCGAUGGGAAACGGGUUAAUAUUCCCGUACUUGGUGUUACUGCGAAGGGGGGACGGAGAAGGCUAUGUUGGCCGGGCGACGGUUGUCCCGGUUUAAGCGUGUAGGUGUGUGUUCCAGGUAAAUCCGGUUCACUUUAACACUGAGGCGUGACGACGAGGCACUACGGUGCUGAAGCAACAAAUGCCCUGCUUCCAGGAAAAGCCUCUAAGCAUCAGGUAACAUCAAAUCGUACCCCAAACCGACACAGGUGGUCAGGUAGAGAAUACCAAGGCGCUUGAGAGAACUCGGGUGAAGGAACUAGGCAAAAUGGUGCCGUAACUUCGGGAGAAGGCACGCUGACACGUAGGUGAAGUGAUUUACUCAUGGAGCUGAAGUCAGUCGAAGAUACCAGCUGGCUGCAACUGUUUAUUAAAAACACAGCACUGUGCAAACACGAAAGUGGACGUAUACGGUGUGACGCCUGCCCGGUGCCGGAAGGUUAAUUGAUGGGGUCAGCGCAAGCGAAGCUCCUGAUCGAAGCCCCGGUAAACGGCGGCCGUAACUAUAACGGUCCUAAGGUAGCGAAAUUCCUUGUCGGGUAAGUUCCGACCUGCACGAAUGGCGUAAUGAUGGCCAGGCUGUCUCCACCCGAGACUCAGUGAAAUUGAACUCGCUGUGAAGAUGCAGUGUACCCGCGGCAAGACGGAAAGACCCCGUGAACCUUUACUAUAGCUUGACACUGAACAUUGAGCCUUGAUGUGUAGGAUAGGUGGGAGGCUUUGAAGCGUGGACGCCAGUCUGCGUGGAGCCGACCUUGAAAUACCACCCUUUAAUGUUUGAUGUUCUAACGUGGACCCGUAAUCCGGGUUGCGGACAGUGUCUGGUGGGUAGUUUGACUGGGGCGGUCUCCUCCUAAAGAGUAACGGAGGAGCACGAAGGUUGGCUAAUCCUGGUCGGACAUCAGGAGGUUAGUGCAAUGGCAUAAGCCAGCUUGACUGCGAGCGUGACGGCGCGAGCAGGUGCGAAAGCAGGUCAUAGUGAUCCGGUGGUUCUGAAUGGAAGGGCCAUCGCUCAACGGAUAAAAGGUACUCCGGGGAUAACAGGCUGAUACCGCCCAAGAGUUCAUAUCGACGGCGGUGUUUGGCACCUCGAUGUCGGCUCAUCACAUCCUGGGGCUGAAGUAGGUCCCAAGGGUAUGGCUGUUCGCCAUUUAAAGUGGUACGCGAGCUGGGUUUAGAACGUCGUGAGACAGUUCGGUCCCUAUCUGCCGUGGGCGCUGGAGAACUGAGGGGGGCUGCUCCUAGUACGAGAGGACCGGAGUGGACGCAUCACUGGUGUUCGGGUUGUCAUGCCAAUGGCACUGCCCGGUAGCUAAAUGCGGAAGAGAUAAGUGCUGAAAGCAUCUAAGCACGAAACUUGCCCCGAGAUGAGUUCUCCCUGAGACUUAAAGUCUCCUGAAGGAACGUUGAAGACGACGACGUUGAUAGGCCGGGUGUGUAAGCGCAGCGAUGCGUUGAGCUAACCGGUACUAAUGAACCGUGAGGCUUAACCUU
rnacentral:rRNA from 1 species